rnacentral:rRNA from 1 species
GACGAACGCUGGCGGCGUGCUUAACACAUGCAAGUCGAACGGAAAGGCCCUGCUUUUGUGGGGUGCUCGAGUGGCGAACGGGUGAGUAACACGUGAGUAACCUGCCCUUGACUUUGGGAUAACUUCAUGAAACUGGGGCUAAUACCGGAUAGGAGCUCCUGCUGCAUGGUGGGGGUUGGAAAGUUUCGGCGGUUGGGGAUGGACUCGCGGCUUAUCAGCUUGUUGGUGGGGUAGUGGCUUACCAAGGCUUUGACGGGUAGCCGGCCUGAGAGGGUGACCGGACACAUUGGGACUGAGAUACGGCCCAGACUCCUACGGGAGGCAGGAGUGGGGAAUAUUGCACAAUGGGCGGAAGCAUGAUGUAGCAACGCCGCGUGCGGGAUGACGGCCUUCGGGUUGUAAACCGCUUUCGCCUGUGCCGAAGCGUGAGUGACGGUAAUGGGUAAAGAAGCACCGGCUAACUACGUG